CGCCUGAGCAGCACCGCCCCUCGGGGAUCGGAAGGCGUGGCACCGGAAGUGACGACACUGAGCACGCCAUUAAAAAGCAGUAGACCGACUUCCCCGCUCUCUCGGCCUUAGCGCCAUCUUCCUUGCAAAUUAACCGUAACUUUUCUCUCUUUUGCCGUAGACACCCCUGCGCCAUGAGAGCGAAGUGGAGGAAGAAGAGAAUGCGCAGACUGAAGCGCAAGAGAAGAAAGAUGAGGCAGAGGUCCAAGUAAACUCGCCUGCCCGCCCACGAAGGCCGCAGGAGCAGCAGUAAGGGACGCUGGAGGCCGGGACGCUGGGACAAGCUGGGCUGAGCUGCAGUCGGAGGAAGUCUCCGGACCCGCGACCUCGCCACCCGCUCGCAGAGGCCACCGAGAGACCGCCGCGCCCGCCGUCAUGACGGCAGCCCCGCUGGCCCUUUGCCCUGGACCUGUGGCGUUCCGGACUAGUUCUGUCCUCACUUGUGGCCAAUUGUAACCCGUGUACAAUAAACCAUCUUUGUCGCUGUCAGCUGAAGAAUGCAA